rnacentral:lncRNA from 1 species
AUGCAAAUAGCUAAACAAGAUCAGAAGAAUUUGAAAAAUUUGCCAAAACCCCAGUCUCAUACCAGAUUCGCUACAUGGGCAAGAAGAUAUGUGAUACUUACAUUAAUUCCUACAAGAAUCUGAAAGUGAAGCUCCACUGGCAGGAGAGCAGAGCGGAGCGGCAGAGGAGGAGAGAAGAGAAGCAGCUGGAGAAAAGCAGCUUGACUUCAGAGGGAUGGCUUGAUGGCAGGACUUCAGAGAAGAGUUUGGCCAGGCAUGGCCAAACUCCAGGGGAAGAUUAUCUGCUCACUCCAUCCCUCUCCAGCUCCCCUUCCCACUGAGAGCCACUUCCAUCUCUCAAUAAAAUUAUCCGCAUACACCACCCUUCAACUGGUUCUUGUGACCUGAUUCUUCCUGGAUGACAGACAAGAACUUGAGUACCAAGAGGGAAGAGUAUAAAAGGCUGUGACCCUCACCCUCCACUGAGGUGGUGAACACUUAGCCAUCUGCGAACAGCAAACGCUAAAAGAGCACUGAUUGUAACACAUGCCCUCUGGGGCUCUGGGGGUCACAGACACCCCCUCCCGGAAGGCAGAGCUAAAAGAGCAUUGUAACAUGCUUGGACUCUGCCGCGAGGCCUGCUCAAAGCUUGAUCCUACCAGAGAGGAGUGACCAGAUGGUUCCAGCAUUUGUUCGCCCCGGCUCCUGCACCUGCUCACCUGUGUGCUUCCGCUUCUUGAGGGGUUCAGAGCUUUGGGCUGAG